rnacentral:rRNA from 1 species
GCUGGACCAUGCACAAGUCUCCUGGAAUGGAGCGUCAUAGAGGGUGAGAAUCCCGUCUUUGGCAUGGAUCCCAGGGCUUCUGUGAUGCGCUCUCGACGAGUCGAGUUGUUUGGGAAUGCAGCUCAAAAUGGGUGGUGAACUCCAUCUAAAGCUAAAUAUUGGCGAGAGACCGAUAGCGAACAAGUACCGUGAGGGAAAGAUGAAAAGCACUUUGGAAAGAGAGUGAAACAGUACGUGAAAUUGUUGAAAGGGAAACGCUUGAAGUCAGUCGCGUUGACCGAGACUCAACCUUGCUWUGGCUUGGUGUAUUUCUCGGCUGACGGGUCAGCAUCAAUUUUGACCCUCAGAUAAUGGCAAGGGAAAGGUGGCACCUUUUAGGUGUGUUAUAGUCCCAUGUCGCAUGUGAGGGUUGGGAUUGAGGAACUCAGCAUGCACCUCUGGGUGUCGGGGCUUUGGCCCACGUUACAUGCUUAGGAUGCUGGCGUAAUGGCUUUAAACGACCCGUCUUGAAACACGGACCAAGGAGUCUAACAUACCCGCGAGUGUUCGGGUGGAAAACCCGUGCGCGUAAUGAAAGUAAAAGUUGGGACCUCUGUCGUGGAGGGCACCGACGCCCGGACCAGACCUUCUGUGACGGCUCUGCGGUAGAGCGUGUAUGUUGGGACCCGAAAGAUGGUGAACUAUGCCUGAAUAGGGUG